GAAUUUGCUUUGGGAGGAGGCGCUUUUCCCAGAGGUCGGGAUUUCCUCCGGAUGCCGGGAUUUGGGGGGGGUCUGCAGGUGGAAAACUGGGAAUUUUGGUUUGGGAGCAGCCGUUUUUUCCAGAGCUGCGAAUUCCCUUCGAGAGCUGAAUUUUGGGGGAUUUUUCCUGCUGGAAAAUUGGGAAUUUUGGUUUGGGGAGGAGGUGGUUUUUCCAGAGCUCCAGAUUUCCUCUGGAUGCUGAAUUUUGGGGAUUUUUCCAGGUGUUUGCAGGUGGAAAAUUGGGAAUUUUGGUUUGGGAGAAGCCACUUUUCCCAGAGCUCCGGAAUUCCCUCCGGAUGCCGGGAUUUGGGGGGGGUCCUGCAGUUGGAAAAUUGGGAAUUUUGGUUUGGGAGCAGCCCGUUUUUUCCAGAGCUGCGAAUUCCCUUCGAGAGCUGAAUUUUGGGGGAUUUUUUCCCACUGGAAAAUUGGGAAUUUUGGUUUGGGAGAAGCCAUUUUUCCCCAGAGCUCCAGAUUUCCUCUGGAUGCUGGAUUUUGGGGAUUUUUCCAGGUGUUUGCAGGUGGAAAAUUGGGAAUUUUGGUUUGGGAGGAGGUGGUUUUUCCAGAGGUCUGGAUUCUGUUUGGGAGCUGAAUUUUGGGGGAUUUUUCCCACUGGAAAAUUGGGAAUUUUGGUUUGGGAGGAGGUGGUUUUCGCAGAGGUCGGGAUUCCCUUCAGGAGAUGAAUUUUGGGGGAAUUUUCCAGGUGUUUCUCGCUGGAAAAUUGGGAAUUUUGGUUUGGGAGGAGCCACUUUUCCCAGAGCUCCCGAUUCCCUUCAGGAGCUGAAUUUUGGGGGGAUUUUUCCAGGUGGAAAAUUGGGAAUUUUGGUUUGGGAGAAGCCGCUUUCCCCAGAGGUCUGGAUUCUGUUUGGGAGCUGAAUUUUGGGGGGAUUUUCCCAAGUGUUUCCCACUGGAAAAUCGGGAAUUUUCCUUCGGGAGCAGCCACUUUUCCCGGAGCUCCUGAGCGCGCUCCUCCUUUUCCUCCUCCUCCUCCAGGCGGCGCUCCCGGCGCAUCCACCGGAUUUUGGGAUACCCAGCCUGGAAUCCGGCCGUUCUCCCAAACCCCUCCGCUCCCCCUUUUUCCCAGGAUUUCUUCCCUCUCCCGGUGCUCCUUUUCCCUCCAUCCCGGCCGUGCCGUUCCCUAAAUCCCACGAAUCCCCUCAAUCCCGUCCUUUUC